rnacentral:tRNA from 1 species
GCCUGGGUGGCUCAGUCGGUUAAGCAUCUGACUUCAGCUCAGGUCAUGAUCUCACAGUCUAUGGGUUCAAGCCCCGCAUCAGGCU